GACGAACGCUGGCGGCAUGCCUAACACAUGCAAGUCGAACGAGAACUUCGGGUCUAGUUGCGCACGGGUGCGUAACGCGGGGGAAAAUGCCCGUAGGUUCCGAAUAACUCCCCGACAGGGGUGCUAAUUACGGAUAAGGUCUUCGGACCAAUGCUUUAUCGCCUUUGGAUGGGCCCGCGUUGGAUUAGCUAGUUGGUAGGGUAAAAGCCUACCAAGGCGACGAUCCAUAGCUGGUCUGAGAGGAUGAUCAGCCACACUGGGACUGAGACACGGCCCAGACUCCUACGGGAGGCAGCAGUGGGGAAUAUUGGACAAGGGGCGAAAGCCUGAUCCAGCAAUGCCGCGUGAGUGAUGAAGGCCUUAGGGUUGUAAAGCUCUUUUACCCGGGAUGAUAAUGACAGUACCGGGAGAAUAAGCUCCGGCUAACUCCGUG
rnacentral:rRNA from 1 species